GCAGAGCAUCCUACGGGAGGCAGCAGUGGGGAAUAUUGCACAAUGGGCGCAAGCCUGAUGCAGCCAUGCCGCGUGUAUGAAGAAGGCCUUCGGGUUGUAAAGUACUUUCAGCAGUGAGGAAGGUGGAUAUGUUAAUAGCAUAUUCAUUUGACGUUAGCUGCAGAAGAAGCACCGGCUAACUCCGUGCCAGCAGCCGCGGUAAUACGGAGGGUGCGAGCGUUAAUCGGAAUUACUGGGCGUAAAGCGCAUGCAGGUGGUUUGUUAAGUCAGAUGUGAAAGCCCGGGGCUCAACCUCGGAAUUGCAUUUGAAACUGGCAAACUAGAGUACUGUAGAGGGGGUAGAAUUUCAGGUGUAGCGGUGAAAUGCGUAGAGAUCUGAAGGAAUACCGGUGGCGAAGGCGGCCCCCUGGACAGAUACUGACACUCAGAUGCGAAAGCGUGGGGAGCAAACAGGAUUAGAUCCCCUGAUAG
rnacentral:rRNA from 1 species